rnacentral:rRNA from 1 species
AUUGAACGCUGGCGGCAGGCCUAACACAUGCAAGUCGAACGAGUGGCGGACGGGUGAGUAAUGUCUGGGAAACUGUCCGAUGGAGGGGGAUAACUACUGGAAACGGUAGCUAAUACCGCAUACCAUCGGAUGUGCCCAGAUGGGAUUAGCUAGUAGGUGGGGUAACGGCUCACCUAGGCGACGAUCCCUAGCUGGUCUGAGAGGAUGACCAGCCCCACUGGAACUGAGACACGGUCCAGACUCCUACGAGUGGCAGCGGUGGGAAAAAUUGCACAAUGGGCACAAGCCUGGUGCAGCCGUGCAGCGGGUGUGAAGAAGGCCUUCGGGUUGUAAAGUGCUUUCAGCGAGUGGGCGUUACUCGCAGAAGAAGCACCGGCUAACUCCGUGCCAGCAGCCGCGGUAAUAC